UUUCCACACAGCAGUUGUGCCAGCACAACAGAAGGGAUGGCACAGGCUGGAAACAGCAGCCAGGAGAGUGGGGAGGAAGGAGCUGUAUCUGCAUGAACUAACCUUGCUGCUAAGGAAAUGUGCUGGUUAACAACAUCAACACGUACAGGUAGCGCUGUUUCCUUUACUGGACUUGCUUAUAGAAAUACAAUUUGUAUCUCCAAAACUAGAUCUAAAUUACUGAAAGGAAGUUGCUAGCUGAAUGCGUAUUUUUAAACAAAAACUUCUCUAUGGAUACAAAAAUGAAGGGUGCUAAUACAAGAAAGGAAAAAAAGGCUAGAGUGAUUUGACCAGAAAGAUGUAGCUUUUACAUGUGCCUUUUACAUUGCUACUGCUGCUUAUGAUCAGAAUCUGAAUGGUUCUAAGGAUCAAUGAAAGGCAAUACAGUUUUUCUUUUUUAGCUAUACAGAAUGAUAGACCAACUGUUUGCAUCAAACGGGCAUUUCACUUCAGCAAUUUGGCUUUUGUUUUUUUGUCUGUAUAUGUACCAUAUAUAUAGUAUUAUUUUGGUAAUACAUUUCAGCUGACAGCUUACUGUGCAUGUGAACCAAAGAAUGCAUCACUAAUUUUUGGGCAAAGCCUUAUUGACACCAAGGGUCCUUCAUUUUCUAGUGAAGUAUGGUGAGCACUGCAGUCUCCUAUCAGUACUUUUGUUCCCAAAACAGGAAUACAGACUUUUUAAAAUAGUGGAGAGAAAUUGAGUAAAUCAAA
rnacentral:lncRNA from 1 species